UAGUCUUCUACUUUCAGCUUUCCAAUGUCUUCUGAGGCAGAGCAUUGAAUCACUUCUCUUUCUUCUUUUUUAAAUUUUUAUUUGAAUCACUUCUCUAGAGGAAGGCUAGAGGGCUCCUCAUUCACAAGUCUACAAUUCUUAUUCAUUUUGCUGACUAAUAUGAAGCGGACUCUGUUCCCCAUUCUUAUAAGACGGGCCAGUUAAUUCUCUUUCCAGGGCCUCUCACAUUCUUCUGUGUGAGGAUAAGGUAGGACAGAAUUUGUUCCCCUUAUUUUAUUAAGUAUUGGUAGAAGUGGUCAAACAAAUGAACAUUUCCAAAUUAUCUUUUUUCUUUUUUUUUUUUUUUUUUGAGACAGAGUCUUGCUCUGUCGCCAGGCUGGAGUGCAGUGGCACAAUCUCAGCUCACUGCAACCUACGACUCCCUGGUUCAAGUGAUUCUCCUCCCUCAGCCUCCCGAGUAGCUAGAAUAACAGGCACACCCAGCUAAUUUUUGUAUUUUUUGUAGAGACAGGGUUUCACCAUGUUGGCCAGGAUGGUCUUGAUCUCCUGACCUUGUGAUCCGCCUGCCUCGUCCUCCCAAAGUUCUGGCAUUAUAGGUAUUAGCCACCAUGCCCAGCCCCAAACUAUCUUAUCUCCAAGACACUCAAUCCUUUUUUUUUUUCCAUUAGUGACUCGUGAUACAGAAGACUCACUCCUUUUACAAAAAGAUAGGAAAAUGUGCAUUUGUGCUUGCAUGCAUUCUUUAGUCAAAGGAAUCCCCUCUGCCCCCACCCAGCCAACAUUUUUUUUACUCUGGUUUUGAAACUAAUAUUGCAUUUUCUACUUUUUUUUCUUUUUAAUAACAAACAUUUAAAUUUAUAAAUAUAUCCCUUUUAUGUGAGAUUCAAACAAUAUAAAAUUGUUUAACAAGAACCCUGACAGCCCCCAUUUAUCUCUGUCACUAUCUCAAUCAUUUUCCCAGUAGUCAUUGCUGUUAACAGGUUGGAUCAUGGUUCUCAGUCCCUUUGCUGUGCACAGUUACACAUACGGGUAUAUAUUACAUCUUUAAAAAACACAGUUAGGGCCCUAGUAUGCAUAUUGUCCUAUAGUUUGCUUUGUUCAUCUGAAAAUAUGUCUUGGUGAUUUUUCCAUUUCAUAUUCCUUUUCAAAGCUCCAUAAUAUUUUAUAGCAAAGAUAUAGAAUGCUCUAUUUCAAGACUACCCUAUUGAUGGACUUUUCUUGUGGUCUAUUUUGUGCUAUUUUCAACAAUUUUUUAAUAAGUAAUCUUAUACACAAAGAUAUAUAGGGUAUAAAAUUUCUAAUUUAUUUUCAGUUUUGACAGAUACUAUAAAUUGCCUUCAGGAAAGUUUCAUCUGUUUAUAGUUCAAGUAACAGCAUAGAGGAGACUCUGAAUCCUUCAAUGAUCACAUCACUUGAUUUUAUAUAAUUUGAAACAUUUUUGCUAAUCUGACAGAAAUUCUUCUUGUAUUUUUCAGAAAACUUAUAAUAAGGUCUUCAUUCUGCAUUCAUUUCCGUAGCAUGAAACCUGUGACCAGACUCCCUCAGUUCAUACCAUGGCUCUGCCACUUAUUUGCUGCAUGAUCCCAGGCACGUUGCUUUACUUUGCUGUGGUUUAGUUCCUCCCCUCUGAACAUGGUGGCAAUAAUGAUACUUUACUCCUAGGGUGGUUGUGAGGACAAAAUUGGUUAACCUGUGUAAAACACUUAGAGCUACAUCUUGCACAUUGUAAAGAUAUGUACAUACUUGUUUUAUUACUAUUCUCUAUAUUUUUUAUUUUCCUGAAUACAAAAAAUGGUUUUGGUAUGUUGUUUUUCUAUUUGGCCAUUUUGUUGAGUUAUCUUAUUUAUUAUAAUAGUUUUUUUUAAAAUGACUUCUCUUAGAUUUCCUUGGUAGAGAAUUGUAAAAAUUAGACAGUUGAGCAGUUGAGGCCAUCCUUUGCAAUAGUUAAAACUCUUUUUUUUUUUUUUUGUCUUAUUACAUUGGCUAAUAUCUCUCGUGGCAAUGAUAAUGGAAAUCCUUGUCUUGUUCCUAAGUAGUAAGACUUCCUCUGAUAUUUCACCAUUAAGCAAGAUGUUUGCUGUAGGAUUUGGUAACUAUGCUUUAGAAGAUGAAGAUAUUUUAUUGUGAUAAAAUGAUAUUAUUAAAGUAUUUUUUUAAUGAGAAAGCAUGAUGAAUUUUAUUAAAUGUUCUCUUUGGCAUCUUUUAAGUUUAGCAUAUAUUUUUUCUCUUUUAAUCAGCCUAUGUGGUGAAUUUUAUUAGUGGAUUGCCCAAUGAUAAAUAAGGUUUCCUUCGUCAGUCCAGGCAGGACUGUGCGGUUGGAAAAGGGACGGAUGCUGGUCCUGGAAGGGGCGUCGUUAUCUAGAAGCUCCCAACCUAAGUGGGUGACUCAUAGGGAGGGCAAGGAGAGAAGGACACAGCAAGCAACUUACAUGUAAAACAAGACGUGUGGGUUAUUAUGGAAGAAAUUCACAACCAAACUUGGGGUUAGCCCGUAUUGUUUUCCAAGAACUCUAUGUGGACAGUGACAAAAAACAGACCUAAGAACUAGCAGACUGGGCAAAGCUUUUUCACAUAACAACAACAAAAAAAGCAAUUCCUCAGGAAAAAAUGGUCAAUGGGUCAUUGUGUGUAGACAAAACUACAAGUUCUGCUCCAGACUCUGGGGAAACCAUGCUGCCAUCUUCAAGCUGUGGCCAUUCUGUAAUACAGACUACGCUAAAUCACAUGUUGUCAUCAAGGCAGAAUAUUUUGUUCCUUUAUGGGUCAGCCUGGGAUACAAAAUUAGAGAAACUUUGCAAUGAAAAAUCCCUUGUGUCUCAUUGAACUUUUUCCUUAAUUCAAACCUUUCCUUUCACAGUUUUGAUUAGUGCCUUUGCCCAUGUGGACAAUAUUUUAUGAUCAGGUUUUAAGAGUAAUCCAUCCAUGGCUGCUUGGCUGCCUGGAACUUAAAACAACGACAACAACAAUGUCCAGAUAAACCCAAUAAAAUAGGUUUUUA
rnacentral:lncRNA from 1 species